rnacentral:rRNA from 1 species
UACGUAGGUGGCAAGCGUUGUCUGGAUUUACUGGGCGUAAAGGAUGCGUAGGCGGACAUUUAAGUCAGAUGUGAAGUACCCGAGCUUAACUUGGGUGCUGCAUUUGAAACUGGGUGUCUAGAGUGCAGGAGAGGUAAGUGGAAUUCCUAGUGUAGCGGUGAAAUGCGUAGAGAUUAGGAAGAACACCAGUGGCGAAGGCGACUUACUGGACUGUAACUGACGCUGAGGCAUGAAAGCGUGGGGAGCAAACAGG